GACGAACGCUGGCGGCGUGCUUAACACAUGCAAGUCGAACGGAAAGGCCCUGCUUUUGUUGGGUGCUCGAGUGGCGAACGGGUGAGUAACACGUGAGUAACCUGCCCUUGACUUUGGGAUAACUUCAGGAAACUGGGGCUAAUACCGGAUAGGAGCUCCUGCUGCAUGGUGGGGGUUGGAAAGUUUCGGCGGUUGGGGAUGGACUCGCGGCUUAUCAGCUUGUUGGUGGGGUAGUGGCUUACCAAGGCUUUGACGGGUAGCCGGCCUGAGAGGGUGACCGGCCACAUUGGGACUGAGAUACGGCCCAGACUCCUACGGGAGGCAGCAGUGGGGAAUAUUGCACAAUGGGCGGAAGCCUGAUGCAGCAACGCCGCGUGCGGGAUGACGGCCUUCGGGUUGUAAACUGCUUUCGCCUGUGACGAAGCGUGAGUGACGGUAAUGGGUAAAGAAGCACCGGCUAACUACGUGCCAGCAGCCGCGGUGAUACGUAGGGUGCGAGCGUUGUCCGGAUUUAUUGGGCGUAAAGGGCUCGUAGGUGGUUGAUCGCGUCGGAAGUGUAAUCUUGGGGCUUAACCCUGAGCGUGCUUUCGAUACGGGUUGACUUGAGGAAGGUAGGGGAGAAUGGAAUUCCUGGUGGAGCGGUGGAAUGUGCAGAUAUCAGGAGGAACACCAGUGGCGAAGGCGGUUCUCUGGGCCUUUCCUGACGCUGAGGAGCGAAAGCGUGGGGAGCGAACAGGCUUAGAUACCCUGGUAGUCCACGCUGUAAACGGUGGGUACUAGGUGUGGGGUCCAUUCCACGGGUUCCGUGCCGUAGCUAACGCUUUAAGUACCCCGCCUGGGGAGUACGGCCGCAAGGCUAAAACUCAAAGGAAUUGACGGGGCCCCGCACAAGCGGCGGAGCAUGCGGAUUAAUUCGAUGCAACGCGUAGAACCUUACCUGGGUUUGACAUGGAUCGGGAGUGCUCAGAGAUGGGUGUGCCUCUUUUGGGGUCGGUUCACAGGUGGUGCAUGGCUGUCGUCAGCUCGUGUCGUGAGAUGUUGGGUUAAGUCCCGCAACGAGCGCAACCCUUGUUCACUGUUGCCAGCACGUUAUGGUGGGGACUCAGUGGAGACCGCCGGGGUCAACUCGGAGGAAGGUGGGGAUGACGUCAAGUCAUCAUGCCCCUUAUGUCCAGGGCUUCACGCACGCUACAAUGGCUGGUACAGAGAGUGGCGAGCCUGUGAGGGUGAGCGAAUCUCGGAAAGCCGGUCUCAGUUCGGAUUGGGGUCUGCAACUCGACCUCAUGAAGUCGGAGUCGCUAGUAAUCGCAGAUCAGCAACGCUGCGGUGAAUACGUUCCCGGG
rnacentral:rRNA from 1 species